rnacentral:rRNA from 1 species
CCUACGGGAGGCAGCAGUGAGGAAUAUUGGUCAAUGGACGAGAGUCUGAACCAGCCAAGUAGCGUGAAGGAUGACUGCCCUAUGGGUUGUAAACUUCUUUUAUAAAGGAAUAAAACGAGGCACGUGUGCCUUUUUGCAUGUACUUUAUGAAUAAGGAUCGGCUAACUCCGUGCCAGCAGCCGCGGUAAUACGGAGGAUCCGAGCGUUAUCCGGAUUUAUUGGGUUUAAAGGGAGCGUAGAUGGGUUGUUAAGUCAGUUGUGAAAGUUUGCGGCUCAACCGUAAAAUUGCAAUUGAUACUGGCAGUCGUGAGUACAGUUGAGGUAGGCGGAAUUCGGGGUGUAGCGGUGAAAUGCUUAGAUAUCACGAAGAACCCCGAUUGCGAAGGCAGCUUACUAAACUGUGACUGACAUUGAUGCUCGAAAGUGUGGGUAUCAAACAGGAUUAGAUACCCCAGUAGUC